GAAAUGCGAUAAGUAAUGUGAAUUGCAGAAUUCAGUGAAUCAUCGAAUCUUUGAACUCACAUUGCGCCCGCCAGCACUCUGGCGGGCAUGCCUGUUCGAGCGUCAUUUCAACCCUCAGAACCCCUUGCGGGAUCUGGCGUUGGGGAUUGGCAUCCAGCCAGCCCCGAAAUCUAGUGGCGGUCCCUCCGCGACCUCCCCUGUGCAGUAGCGAUACCUCGCAGCGGGACAGCGGUCUGACCACGCCGUAAAACCCCCAACUUCUCAAGGUUGACCUCGAAUCAGGUAGGAAUACCCGCUGAACUUAAGC
rnacentral:misc_RNA from 1 species